AACCUACCAUCGACAGUUGAUAAGGCWGACAUUUGAAAGAUGCSUCGCCGGUGCGAUGACCGUGCGAUCAGCGUAAAGUUAUUCARAGUCACCAAGUUGAGCGAUGACKAGCGGACCCGCRACCGAUUGGUUUUGAUCUAAUAAAAGCACUCCUUCCGUCUCCGGUCGGAGCUCUGUUUGCAUGUAUUARCUCUASAAUUACCACAGUUAUCCAAGUAAUUGUGGGUACGAUCUAAGGAACCAUAWCUGAUUUAAUGASCCUUUCGCGGUUUCACCUUAA
rnacentral:rRNA from 1 species